CAGGGUACGUUCUCCUGCAAAACCAUCCAGUUAUUCAGUAAAGUGGACGAUAGAAGAGAAAAAACUGUUUGAACAAGGACUGGCUAAAUUUGGCCGAAGAUGGACCAAAAUCGCAGCACUAGUUAAAAGUCGCACAGUUUUACAAGUGAAGAGUUAUGCCAGACAAUACUUCAGAAAUAAGGUAAAGUGGGGUGCGGAGAAAGAAACACCAACUUUGAAGAGCAACAGUGAUCUUCAGGUUAAAAAUAAAGAUGAAAGGACAAAGGUGUGGGUCGCAUCAGAUCCCAACCUUAAUGCUGUAAAAAUAGAGAAGUUGUCUGAUGAUGAAGAUGUAGACAUCACCGAUGAGCUGGAUGAGUUGACUUCUCAAACAUCACAAAAGAAUUAUGGCGGCC
rnacentral:lncRNA from 1 species